UACGUAGGUCGCAAGCGUUGUCCGGAUUUACUGGGCGUAAAGAGCGCGCAGGCGGCUGGUCAAGUCCGAUGUGAAAUCUCCCGGCUCAACUGGGAAACUGCAUCGGAAACUGAUCGGCUUGAAGAUGGGAGAGGGUAGUGGAAUUCCCGGCGUAGUGGUGAAAUGCGUAGAUAUCGGGAGGAACAUCAGUGGCGAAGGCGGCCUGCUGGGCUGUUGCUGACGCUGAGGCGCGACAGCGUGGGGAGCAAACAGG
rnacentral:rRNA from 1 species